UUGGAGGGCAAGUCUGGUGCCAGCAGCCGCGGUAAUUCCAGCUCCAAUAGCGUAUAUUAAAGUUGUUGCAGUUAAAAAGCUCGUAGUUGAAUUUCGGGGUCAGUAGGUUGGUCAUGCCACUGGUAUGUACUGGUCUCACUGAUUCCUCCUUCCUGAUGAGCCGUAAUGCCAUUAAUUUGGUGUUGCGAGGAAUCUGGACUGUUACUUUGAAAAAAUUAGAGUGUUUAAAGCAGGCUAACGCUUGAAUACAUUAGCAUGGAAUAAUGAAAUAGGACGUUCGAUCUUAUUUUGUUGGUUUCUAAGAUUGACGUAAUGAUUAAUAGGGAUAGUUGGGGGCAUUAGUAUUCAAUUGUCAGAGGUGAAAUUCUUGGAUUUAUUGAAGACUAACUACUGCGAAAGCAUUUGCCAAGGAUGUUUUCAUUAAUCAAGAACGAAAGUUAGGGGAUCGAAGACGAUCAGAUACCGUCGUAGUCUUAACCAUAAACUAUGCCGACUAGGGAUCGGAUGAUGUUAAUUUUCUAAUGACUCAUUCGGCACCUUACGGGAAAC
rnacentral:rRNA from 1 species